UCGUAACAAGGUUUCCGUAGGUGAACCUGCGGAAGGAUCAUUACUGAUUUGCUUAAUUGCACCACAUGUGUUUUUUAUUGAACAAAUUUCUUUGGUGGCGGGAGCAAUCCUACCGCCAGAGGUUAUAACUAAACCAAACUUUUUAUUUACAGUCAAACUUGAUUUAUUAUUACAAUAGUCAAAACUUUCAACAACGGAUCUCUUGGUUCUCGCAUCGAUGAAGAACGCAGCGAAAUGCGAUACGUAAUAUGAAUUGCAGAUAUUCGUGAAUCAUCGAAUCUUUGAACGCACAUUGCGCCCUUUGGUAUUCCAAAGGGCAUGCCUGUUUGAGCGUCAUUUCUCCCUCAAACCCCCGGGUUUGGUGUUGAGCAAUACGCUAGGUUUGUUUGAAAGAAUUUACGUGGAAACUUAUUUUAAGCGACUUAGGUUUAUCCAAAACGCUUAUUUUGCUAGUGGCCACCACAAUUUAUUUCAUAACUUUGACCUCAAAUCAGGUAGGACUACCCGCUGAACUUAAGCAUAUC
rnacentral:misc_RNA from 1 species